CUUAGACAAAUGUGCUGCUCCGUGGGCCCAUUGGAACACCGCUGGAUACAUGCUCUUAGGUAGGCAGAAUUUAAGAUUAAUAGCAUACAUUCCAUCCUGUAGGGUCGCUCCUUUUUGCUUUCAGCUUUGCUUUUCUUCAGGGCCUACAGCUGUUUGUUGUUCCUUCAUGAAUUUGAGGUCUGUGGCUAAGAUUUGCAUGGUAAAUAUAGG